AGUUCAGCAGCGCCACCUGGCUCAGCAGCAACGAACUGCAGAACACUCCAAGAUCAUCAGCAGAUAUUUAUUAACCAGAACUAUUAAAAACCAAAGGAGGGAUGUUGAUUCCUGUCUGCCCUGCUGUUGAUGUAGAAUAGCUUUCCUGGUCCCUGCUAGCAGAUCUGCCCCCUCUCUCUACUACAGAUCUUCCUGUCUACUGAUGUCACUUGUUUGCAGGCUAUUUGAAGGGAAGCAAGCAUCGAGAGGACAGCUAGAACACAAAUAGGAUUUGUAUGAUAUCCUUGUCUGCUGAUAAUAUAGAAGGGAAGGGGGACUUGAGCCAAGCUCAACUUUGGCUUUGCUCACUAAACUUGAGAUAACGUAGGGAACAUUUUGGAAAUAAAGUGCCUUGUGACAAAAAUUUUAAAGAAUAUCCUUACAUAAAAUAACAAGGGCUAAGGGAUAGAAUUUUCUACACCCAUAUGUUAUACUUGUAGUCCAGUGAAAGAAGACCAAGAAUGGAUGGACAAGAAGAACAAGAAAGUCAUACAGUUGUAGUUGCCAAGGACAUGUUCAAGCGUUUUGUGUGUUUUAAUCAAGUCAGUAAUAAGACUAUGAGGAUAUAUCUUGAAAGAUAUUAAAACAAUGAAUGGAACAGUGUUAUGCCUGUUACCCAACCAUCUUGUAAAGAGAAGAUGGAACACUGAAUGAGAAAUGAUUUCAUCCAUCUAUUAGUAAUUGAAUAGAUGGAAGUUUUAGAACUUUAUCACCAUCAUGUAGGAGAAAUGGUGGAAUUAAUGUUCAGAUUAAUUUCUUUUGUCCGUCUUGUAUGUGAAAAGGUGGACAAGUACCUAUUU